AAGAUACAAAUAGCUGAAGAA
rnacentral:piRNA from 1 species